UCUAUUUCUGCUGCAAAAAGCUCCGAAACACUUUGUUGUGUUGAUGGGACAAUGUUUUUGGAUACACAAAAAAUCCGUAUACAUAAUAUGUGGAGCUCUGCAAAGUAUGUUCAGGCCCCUGUUGCAGGAAUGACAGCGUGUCACCCAUUCCCAAUUGGACAGCAGGACACUGACUGGCCCGCUGUAGGACAUUAAUGUGCGUUCUACACACCAGUGGUAGUGGAGCCAUGGGAUUGGCACCAUCGCUGGGCAGCAAGAUGGACUGGCAUCCAAUAUUCCAUUACUGAGGAAGCUGGCGCAGGGUCUCCUGCUGAAUCUCCCUGCAUUGUGCUCCAUCCAUUGUUCUUCUGAUUUAAAUAAGUGCCCCGUCCCUGGUGAUGACAAGCACCACCCCUCCCUGCAUAGUGCUACCAAUCACUGUAGGCCCCGUGCCACCACGACAGCUAUCACAUGGGUGCGACACCACAACCCAUCACUGUGGCAACAGGGUUCUAUAGACGUGGCCUGUGUGAGAUACGUAUGUACCAUGUAUCGCUUUGGGCUUUGGCCAGACAACUUCUCCCACCAGGAUCCACCAUGGUUGGGCAGAGUUUGUAGGUGGGAUCUGGGCUGCCUGUAACGCCCACCUCCUGACAGCGCCCACUGGCACGUGCAGACACUUGGAGAUUGUUUUAUCCACUAUUAGCCAAUCUGAAUUAUAGAACACGUUAUACCCAGCUUCAAUUUCACAGGUGUCCAUAAGAUUAAUAACCUGACUAAUGAUCCCUUAAUGGUGGGGCCUGGUAUUAUAAUAAUUCCCUGGCGGAGGCCAAUCAGAAGGCAGUGCGGCCUGCUUUGACAAUGGUAUACAUUGCAUAACCCCAGUAAAGGUAACAAAUACUGUUUCAGACGCUUUCUGCGCAUUAGUAACAGGUUGUCGAUAAGCGCAAAAAAUAAAAAUGCCCAACCUAUAAAA